rnacentral:misc_RNA from 1 species
GGCAGUUUUGUUUGAAUCAUUUUCCAUAUCUUUCAUUUUUAUAAAUUCAACUGUCUUUUGUUCCUUCCUAUCACAUUGUUUUUCUAGCAUGGAAUGCUGAUUGUGAUAUAUGAUUAUAUUUCCAAUCUGUUGUCCGUUUUGUUGGUGUGUUGACUUUGCAACUAUCUCCUUUCUAUAUUGGGUAACAUCAGUUGAAAUAGAUUGCAGUUGACCUUUUUAUACUUUUAUA